AAAGCGCGCGUAGGUGGUUGUUAAGUUAGGAUGUGAAAGCCCCGGGCUCAACCUGGGAACUGCAUCCAAAACUGGCAAGCUAGAGUAUGGUAGAGGGUGGUGGAAUUUCCUGUGUAGCGGUGAAAUGCGUAGAUAUAGGAAGGAACACCAGUGGCGAAGGCGACCACCUGGACUGAUACUGACACUGAGGUGCGAAAGCGUGGGGAGCAAACAGGAUUAGAUACCCUUGU
rnacentral:rRNA from 1 species